rnacentral:rRNA from 1 species
UACGUAGGUGGCGAGCGUUGUUCGGAUUCACUGGGCGUAAAGGGUGCGUAGGUGGUGAGGUAAGUCGGAUGUGAAAUCUCCGGGCUCAACCCGGAAAUGGCAUUGGAAACUACCUUGCUGGAGGAUUUGAGGGGGGAUUGGAAUACUUGGUGUAGCAGUGAAAUGCGUAGAUAUCAAGUGGAACACCAGUGGCGAAGGCGAAUCCCUGGAAAAUACCUGACACUGAGGCACGAAAGCUAGGGGAGCAAACAGG